GGCACACAGACACUCCGGCACACAUACACUCACACACAGACACACACACAAUCACAGACAGUCACUCACAGACACACAGACACACACUCACUAAUUAUUUUAAUAAAUUAACAGGCAGGACAAAACUCAGGCACCCCCCAACCCUUCCCCCCGCCCGCUAAAUACACACACACACACACACACACAUUCACUGACAGAUUCGCAUACACUCGCUAACAGAAACACACUCACUGACACACAGUCAAACACACACAUACACACACUCACUAGCACACACACUCACAUUCACUGACAGAUCCGCAUACACUCGCUAACAGAAACACACACACUCACUGACACACACACACAGUCAGACACACACACACUCACUGACACACAGUCACACACACACACUAACAGACAAACAGUCAGACACACACUAACAGACACACACUCACUAGCAGACACACACACAAACUCUCACACACUAACAAACACACAUUAAAUGACACACUCACUGACACACACACAGUCAGACACACACAUACACACUAACACUCACUAGCAGACACACACACACACACACAAACUCACACACACAAAUUAACAGACACACACUAACAGACACACACACACACACACACACACACUCACAGGCAAACACACACUCACUGACAGUCAGACACACACUAACAGACACACACUCACUCACUAGAAGACACACACUCACACAGUCAG